GAACUGCGAUAAGUAAUGUGAAUUGCAGAAUUCAGUGAAUCAUCGAGUCUUUGAACGCACAUUGCGCCCCCUGGCAUUCCGGGGGGCAUGCCUGUCCGAGCGUCAUUGCUGCCCUUCAAGCCCGGCUUGUGUGUUGGGUCGUCGUCCCCUCCGGGGGGCGGGCCCGAAAGGCAGCGGCGGCACCGCGUCCGGUCCUCGAGCGUAUGGGGCUUUGUCACCCGCUCGAUAAGGACCGGCCGGGCGCCAGCCGGCGUCUCCAACCUUUUUUUCUCAGGUUGACCUCGGAUCAGGUAGGGAUACCCGCUGAACUUAAGC
rnacentral:misc_RNA from 1 species